UGGGGAAUAUUGCACAAUGGGCGCAAGCCUGAUGCAGCCAUGCCGCGUGUAUGAAGAAGGCCUUCGGGUUGUAAAGUACUUUCAGCGGGGAGGAAGGGAGUAAAGUUAAUACCUUUGCGCAUUGACGUUACCCGCAGAAGAAGCACCGGCUAACUCCGUGCCAGCAGCCGCGGUAAUACGGAGGGUGCAAGCGUUAAUCGGAAUUACUGGGCGUAAAGCGCACGCAGGCGGUUUGUUAAGUCAGAUGUGAAAUCCCCGGGCUCAACCUGGGAACUGCAUCUGAUACUGGCAAGCUUGAGUCUCGUAGAGGGGGGUAGAAUUCCAGGUGUAGCGGUGAAAUGCGUAGAGAUCUGGAGGAAUACCGGUGGCGAAGGCGGCCCCCUGGACGAAGACUGACGCUCAGGUGCGAAAGCGUGGGGAGCAAACAGG
rnacentral:rRNA from 2 species